rnacentral:siRNA from 1 species
UUUAACCUGGUGAGGGUUUCGC